GACGAACGCUGGCGGCGUGCUUAACACAUGCCAGUCGAACGGAAAGGCCCUGCUUUUGUGGGGUGCUCGAGUGGCGAACGGGUGAGUAACACGUGAGUAACCUGCCCUUGACUUUGGGAUAACUUCAGGAAACUGGGGCUAAUACCGGAUAGGAGCUCCUGCUGCAUGGUGGGGGUUGGAAAGUUUCGGCGGUUGGGGAUGGACUCGCGGCUUAUCAGCUUGUUGGUGGGGUAGUGGCUUACCAAGGCUUUGACGGGUAGCCGGCCUGAGAGGGUGACCGGCCACAUUGGGCCUGAGAUACGGCCCAGACUCCUACGGGAGGCAGCAGUGGGGAAUAUUGCACAAUGGGCGGAAGCCUGAUGCAGCAACGCCGCGUGCGGGAUGACGGCCUUCGGGUUGUAAACCGCUUUCGCCUGUGACGAAGCGUGAGUGACGGUAAUGGGUAAAGAAGCACCGGCUAACUACGUG
rnacentral:rRNA from 1 species